rnacentral:rRNA from 1 species
GGCGGACGGGUGAGGAACACGUAGGAACCUGCCCUCAAGCGGGGGAUAACCAAUGGAAACGUUGGCUAAUACCGCAUAAUCUCGGAAGAGAAAAGCUACCCGCAAGGGCGGCACUUGAGGAGGGGCCUGCGUCCGAUUAGCUAGUUGGUGAGGUAAUAGCUCACCAAGGCGAUGAUCGGUAACUGGUCUGAGAGGACGACCAGUCACACUGGGACUGAGACACGGCCCAGACUCCUACGGGAGGCAGCAGUGGGGAAUAUUGGACAAUGGGGGCAACCCUGAUCCAGCGAUGCCGCGUGAGUGAAGAAGGCCCUCGGGUCGUAAAGCUCUUUAGGUUGGGAAGAAGUGCAUUAGGUUCAUAGCCUAGUGUGUUGACGGUACCGACAGAAUAAGCACCGGCAAACUCUGUGCCAGCAGCCGCGGUAAUACAGAGGGUGCAAGCGUUAAUCGGAGUUACUGGGCGUAAAGGGCGCGUAGGCGGAUAUAUGUGUGUGAUGUGAAAGCCCCGGGCUUA